GACGUAGGGCGCGAGCGUUGUCCGGAUUUAUUGGGCGUAAAGAGCUCGUAGGCGGCUUGUCGCGUCGACUGUGAAAACCCGCGGCUCAACCGCGGGCCUGCAGCCGAUACGGGCAGGCUAGAGUUCGGUAGGGGAGACUGGAAUUCCUGGUGUAGCGGUGAAAUGCGCAGAUAUCAGGAGGAACACCGGUGGCGAAGGCGGCAUCCUGGACCAAUAUUGACGCUGAGGAGCGAAAGCCAGGGGAGCAAACGGG
rnacentral:rRNA from 1 species